rnacentral:rRNA from 1 species
UACAGAGGUUUCAAGCGUUGUUCGGAUUCAUUGGGCGUAAAGGGUGCGCAGGCGGCGAGGCAAGUCGGAUGUGAAAUCCCGGGGCUCAACCCCGGAACUGCAUUCGAUACUGCCUUGCUAGAGUGCUGGAGAGGAGAGUGGAAUUUACGGUGUAGCAGUGAAAUGCGUAGAUAUCGUAAGGAAGACCAAUGGCGAAGGCGGAUCUCUGGACAGCUACUGACGCUGAGGCACGAAGGCCAGGGGAGCAAACAGG